rfam:Balearica pavonina gibbericeps contig8591, whole genome shotgun sequence.
GUUUGGAUGAUGACUUAACAGUUUGUCGGAUACCCCUUCACUCAUCUUAUGAGUGAGAACAACAGUCUGACAAAC